GAGUACCUGGCUACGAACCAGGCGGUCGGAGGUUCGACUCCUUCCAUGCGCG
rnacentral:tRNA from 1 species